UACGGAGGGUGCAAGCGUUGUUCGGAUUUAUUGGGCGUAAAGCGCGUGUAGGCGGUUUCUUAAGUCUGAUGUGAAAGCCCUGGGCUCAACCCAGGAAGUGCAUUGGAUACUGGGAAACUUGAAUACGGGAGAGGGUAGUGGAAUUCCUAGUGUAGGAGUGAAAUCCGUAGAUAUUAGGAGGAACACCGGUGGCGAAGGCGGCUACCUGGACCGGUGACUGACGCUGAGGCGCGAAAGCGUGGGGAGCGAACAGG
rnacentral:rRNA from 1 species